AUCCAUCUCGUCCAGCUCCAGUAGGUCAGCUAUCAGCUCUCUCCGUGGUCGGUUGCUGGCACGCCUUCCUCUGGUUUCCAAUAGAUCCUUUAGUGUGGGUCUUUUCAGUUUAGCGUACUGGGAUUCCAUUCAGCACUUGCUUUGGGGAUGAAAAGGACCAUCCCGCCGCUGCCACCAAUGUAACGGCUACCCAGCUGGAGAGGGGUAUCUGCCGUUGGAGACGUCCUUUUCUAGGCAAGCUGCUGUGAAGUAAUGGAGUUCUUAUUCCCAUCCACGAUAUCCAAGUGUAUAAUCCAGGAGUGCUGUAAAAUGAGGCAGAGUAACGGUACCAUAAAUCCCCUCCAAGAACGAGACGAGGCUAUGUUUUGAAGGGUCAAGUAGAACUGAUGUUUAUUGACAGGGGUCUCCUUUUAUGCAAUGGUGCCCUCUGAAAGGCUACACCCACAUAAUUAUCACAACAGCCAAUUACAUACAUGGUUCAACCCCCACGUCUCCUCCCCUCAGAUAACAUAUAAC